rnacentral:rRNA from 1 species
GAUCCUGGCUUAGGACGAACGCUGGCGGCGCGCCUAACACAUGCAAGUCGAGCGGAGAACAAGAGCUGCUCUUGUCUAGCGGCGGACGGGUGAGUAACACGUGAGCAACCCGCCUUAAAGAGGGGGAUAACGUUGGGAAACCAACGCUAAUACCGCAUAACAUAUUAAGACCGCAUGGUUUUAAUAUCAAAGGAGCAAUCCGCUUUAAGAUGGGCUCGCGCCCGAUUAGGUAGUUGGUGAGGUAAUGGCCCCACCAAGCCUGCGAUCGGUAGCCGGACUGAGAGGUUGAUCGGCCACAUUGGGACUGAGACACGGCCCAGACUCCUACGGGAGGCGGCAGUGGGGAAUAUUGCACAAUGGAGGAAAAACCUCUGAUGCAGCGACGCCGCGUGAGGGAAGAAGGUCUUCGGAUUGUAAACCUCUGUCUUUGGGGAAGAUAAUGACGGUACCCAAGGAGGAAGCCACGGCUAACUACGUGCCAGCCGCCGC